rnacentral:rRNA from 1 species
AAUCAACGCUGGCGGCGUGCCUAACACAUGCAAGUCGAACGCGAAAGCCCCGCAAGGGGUAAGUAGAGUGGCAAACGGGUGAGUAACACGUGGGUGACCUGCCUUCGAGUGGGGGAUAACGUCCCGAAAGGGACGCUAAUACCGCAUGACAUCCUGCUUUUGAAAAAGCGGAGAUCAAAGCUGGGGAUCGCAAGACCUAGCGCUUGAAGAGGGGCCCGCGCCUGAUUAGCUAGUUGGUGAGGUAACGGCUCACCAAGGCGACGAUCAGUAUCCGGCCUGAGAGGGCGGACGGACACACUGGGACUGAGACACGGCCCAGACUCCUACGGGAGGCAGCAGUGGGGAAUUGUUCGCAAUGGGCGCAAGCCUGACGACGCAACGCCGCGUGGAGGACGAAGAUCUUCGGGUCGUAAACUCCUGUCGAGCGGGACGAACGCUUCGCGGAUGAAUAAUCCGCAGAAUUGACGGUACCGCUAAAGGAAGCCCCGGCUAACUCCGUG